rnacentral:rRNA from 1 species
AGGUCCCGCCUGCCCUGUGACCACAAGUUUAACGGCCGCGGUAUUUUGACCGUGCAAAGGUAGCGUAAUCACUUGUCUUUUAAAUGGAGACCUGUAUGAAUGGCAUAACGAGGGCUAAGCUGUCUCCUUUUCCCAGUCAAUGAAAUUGAUCUUCCCGUGCAGAAGCGGGAAUAAUAACAUAAGACGAGAAGACCCUAUGGAGCUUUAGACACAAGGCAGCCAACGUUAAACACCCCUCAUUAAGGGGCACAACUGAAUACCGCCUGCCCCACUGUCUUUGGUUGGGGCGACCGCGGGGCAACAAAAAUCCCCCACGUGGAAUAGGUUUAAUCCUUAAAACCAGAGCUUCAGCUCUAACAAACAGAAUAUCUGACCAGCAGAUCCGGCACAGCCGAUCAACGGACCGAGUUACCCUAGGGAUAACAGCGCAAUCCCCUUUCAGAGCCCAUAUCGACAAGGGGGUUUACGACCUCGAUGUUGGAUCAGGACCCCCUAAUGGUGCAGCCGCUAUUAAGGGUUCGUUUGUUCAACGAUUAAAGUCCU